UACGGAGGAUGCAAGCGUUAUCCGGAUUUAUUGGGUUUGAAGGGUGCGUAGGCGGGAUAAUAAGUCAGAGGUGAAAUCUCCCGGCUUAACCGGGAAACUGUCUUUGAUACUGUUAUUCUUGAGUAUAGUUGAGGUGGGCGGAAUGUGUAAUGUAGCGGUGAAAUGCAUAGAUAUUACACAGAACACCGAUUGCGAAGGCAGCUCACUAAACUAAAACUGACGCUGAUGCACGAAAGCGUAGGUAGCGAACAGG
rnacentral:rRNA from 1 species